AACUAAAAUCUGUGAGCUAACCCACCUCUGCCUUCAUACUGAGUAACAGAGGACAGUUGGGCGUGCUAAUGCAGAACCUCACCAAGUUCAAACUCUACGGAAUAUCAGGGAAAUGCAGAGGAAGUUCACACGUUCAAUGCAGUGGACGCAACUGACAUGAAGUGGACUGGCGUCCCAUCCAGGAUGUACUAUCGCACACUCUAUACUUCUGGAAUAGAGUCCAGACCACUGUGACCCUGAACUGGACAAGCAGACAUUGACAAUGAAUGACGGAGUGUCUCAAAUAAAAUUGGACCAGAUCACAUGUACAAUAUUCACACAUUCCCCACUUUAUCUGUACAGUUUCUGUUCCACUCAGAUACAUCAUCCAGGAUUUCAAGGUCAUUUCUGCCCGAGGAGAGCAGUACCUGUCAGACAUUCAUUUGCACCAUUCACCUCGGCACCGAGCUCUGCCUUCUCCUUAACUACAGCCCCAGGGUCCAGCAGGAGCUAGCAUUAUUCAACCAUGGCAAAGUAAUAUUGUUUGCAUGGAAAACUGGAAUUAUUAAAGUCAGAAGGUCAUUGCGAGGACAAGUCCUUCUGCAGGAGUUCUGGAGUCUUCUUUCUUUUCCAUUAUGUGGUAAA